rnacentral:rRNA from 1 species
UGGGGAAUUUUGGACAAUGGGCGAAANCCUGAUCCAGCAAUGCCGCGUGUGUGAAGAAGGCCUUCGGGUUGUAAAGCACUUUUGUCCGGAAAGAAAUCCUUGGCUCUAAUACAGUCGGGGGAUGACGGUACCGGAAGAAUAAGCACCGGCUAACUACGUGCCAGCAGCCGCGGUAAUACGUAGGGUGCAAGCGUUAAUCGGAAUUACUGGGCGUAAAGCGUGCGCAGGCGGUUUGCUAAGACCGAUGUGAAAUCCCCGGGGCUCAACCUGGGAACUGCAUUGGUGACUGGCAGGCUAGAGUAUGGCAGAGGGGGGUAGAAUUCCACGUGUAGCAGUGAAAUGCGUAGAGAUGUGGAGGAAUACCGAUGGCGAAGGCAGCCCCCUGGGCCAAUACUGACGCUCAUGCACGAAAAGCGUGGGGGAGCAAAACAGGAUUAGAUACCCCUGGUAGUCCACGCCCUAAAACGAUGUCAACUAGUUGUUGGGGAUUCAUUUCCUUAGUAACGUAGCUAACGCGUGAAGUUGACCGCCUGGGGAGUACGGUCGCAAGAUUAAAACUUAAAGGAAUUGACGGGGUCAUAGCUGUUUCCU